rnacentral:tRNA from 1 species
AGCGCUAUAGCUUAACGGUAAAGUACUGUGCUACGGACACAAGGUUGUGAGUUCAAAUCUCACUAGCGUAA